ACGACUCUCGGCAACGGAUAUCUCGGCUCUCGCAUCGAUGAAGAACGUAGCGAAAUGCGAUACCUGGUGUGAAUUGCAGAAUCCCGCGAACCAUCGAGUCUUUGAACGCAAGUUGCGCCCGAGGCCACCAGGCCGAGGGCACGCCUGCCUGGGCGUCACGC
rnacentral:rRNA from 1 species